rnacentral:rRNA from 1 species
UACGAAGGUGGCAAGCGUUGUUCGGAUUUACUGGGCGUACAGGGAGCGUAGGCGGUUGGGUAAGCCCUCCGUGAAAUCUCCGGGCCUAACCCGGAAAGUGCGGAGGGGACUGCUCGGCUAGAGGAUGGGAGAGGAGCGCGGAAUUCCCGGUGUAGCGGUGAAAUGCGUAGAUAUCGGAAGGAACACCUGUGGCGAAAGCGGCUCACUGGACCAUUACUGACGCUGAUGCACGAAAGCUAGGGGAGCAAACAGG